CUAACCUGCAAGUCGAGCGGAUGAGUGGAGCUUGCUCCAUGAUUCAGCGGCGGACGGGUGAGUAAUGCCUAGGAAUCUGCCUGGUAGUGGGGGACAACGUUUCGAAAGGAACGCUAAUACCGCAUACGUCCUACGGGAGAAAGUGGGGGAUCUUCGGACCUCACGCUAUCAGAUGAGCCUAGGUCGGAUUAGCUAGUUGGUGAGGUAAAGGCUCACCAAGGCGACGAUCCGUAACUGGUCUGAGAGGAUGAUCAGUCACACUGGAACUGAGACACGGUCCAGACUCCUACGGGAGGCAGCAGUGGGGAAUAUUGGACAAUGGGCGAAAGCCUGAUCCAGCCAUGCCGCGUGUGUGAAGAAGGUCUUCGGAUUGUAAAGCACUUUAAGUUGGGAGGAAGGGCAGUAAGUUAAUACCUUGCUGUUUUGACGUUACCAACAGAAUAAGCACCGGCUAACUUCGUGCCAGCAGCCGCGGUAAUACGAAGGGUGCAAGCGUUAAUCGGAAUUACUGGGCGUAAAGCGCGCGUAGGUGGUUCGUUAAGUUGGAUGUGAAAGCCCCGGGCUCAACCUGGGAACUGCAUCCAAAACUGGCGAGCUAGAGUAUGGCAGAGGGUGGUGGAAUUUCCUGU
rnacentral:rRNA from 2 species